UUAAUUUUGAUAUUCAAGAUGUCUGCGCCCAUGGGACACGAUCGGUCACGACCAAAGCCAAAAGAGGACGACGAGGAAGAAGAUCCAGUGGACAAGAUGCUUACAAAAACUGGAUGCAAAGAAUUACAUUACCUUGUCCAGGAUUGUAUGGGAGAACACAAUGAUUGGAGGAAAUGUCAAAAACAGGUCACAGAGUUCAGGAAAUGUAUGGAAAAGAAAUCAUCUUGAUACAUUUGAGGAAGUGUGUGUCUUUGCAAGUGAACAAUAAAUCCUCUGAAAUAUACUAUGGAAAAGAAUAUCUGUGAUAUUUAAGAUACUUAGAAGAACCAUAUCUACCUUUUAUGUAAUGACAAAUAAACGAUACCUUUCGCUGUU